GACGAACGCUGGCGGCGUGCCUAAUACAUGCAAGUCGAACGAACUCUGGUAUUGAUUGGUGCUUGCAUCAUGAUUUACAUUUGAGUGAGUGGCGAACUGGUGAGUAACACGUGGGAAACCUGCCCAGAAGCGGGGGAUAACACCUGGAAACAGAUGCUAAUACCGCAUAACAACUUGGACCGCAUGGUCCGAGCUUGAAAGAUGGCUUCGGCUAUCACUUUUGGAUGGUCCCGCGGCGUAUUAGCUAGAUGGUGGGGUAACGGCUCACCAUGGCAAUGAUACGUAGCCGACCUGAGAGGGUAAUCGGCCACAUUGGGACUGAGACACGGCCCAAACUCCUACGGGAGGCAGCAGUAGGGAAUCUUCCACAAUGGACGAAAGUCUGAUGGAGCAACGCCGCGUGAGUGAAGAAGGGUUUCGGCUCGUAAAACUCUGUUGUUAAAGAAGAACAUAUCUGAGAGUAACUGUUCAGGUAUUGACGGUAUUUAACCAGAAAGCCACGGCUAACUACGUGCCAGCAGCCGCGGUAAUACGUAGGUGGCAAGCGUUGUCCGGAUUUAUUGGGCGUAAAGCGAGCGCAGGCGGUUUUUUAAGUCUGAUGUGAAAGCCUUCGGCUCAACCGAAGAAGUGCAUCGGAAACUGGGAAACUUGAGUGCAGAAGAGGACAGUGGAACUCCCAUGUGUAGCGGUGAAAUGCGUAGAUAUAUGGAAGAACACCAGUGGCCGAAGGCGCUGUCUGGUCUGUAACUGACGCUGAGGCUCGAAAGUAUGGGUAGCAAACAGGAUUAGAUACCCUGGUAGUCCAUACCGUAAACGAUGAAUGCUAAGUGUUGGAGGGUUUCCGCCCUUCAGUGCUGCAGCUAACGCAUUAAGCAUUCCGCCUGGGGAGUACGGCCGCAAGGCUGAAACUCAAAGGAAUUGACGGGGGCCCGCACAAGCGGUGGAGCAUGUGGUUUAAUUCGAAGCUACGCGAAGAACCUUACCAGGUCUUGACAUACUAUGCAAAUCUAAGAGAUUAGACGUUCCCUUCGGGGACAUGGAUACAGGUGGUGCAUGGUUGUCGUCAGCUCGUGUCGUGAGAUGUUGGGUUAAGUCCCGCAACGAGCGCAACCCUUAUUAUCAGUUGCCAGCAUUAAGUUGGGCACUCUGGUGAGACUGCCGGUGACAAACCGGAGGAAGGUGGGGAUGACGUCAAAUCAUCAUGCCCCUUAUGACCUGGGCUACACACGUGCUACAAUGGAUGGUACAACGAGUUGCGAACUCGCGAGAGUAAGCUAAUCUCUUAAAGCCAUUCUCAGUUCGGAUUGUAGGCUGCAACUCGCCUACAUGAAGUCGGAAUCGCUAGUAAUCGCGGAUCAGCAUGCCGCGGUGAAUACGUUCCCGGGCCUUGUACACACCGCCCGUCACACCAUGAGAGUUUGUAACACCCAAAGUCGGUGGGGUAACCUUUUAGGAACCAGCCGCCUAAGGUGGGACAGAUGAUUAGGGUG
rnacentral:rRNA from 1 species